AGAGACUCUCAAGAGUCAUCCUUCAUUUGUGUUGAUGCCAUAUUAAAGGUGAACGGAUAUUCUUCACUGCUUGACUUUGAGCUCUUAUCUGGCUGGUGAACGUCAAAGAACACCAAGAGCUUUUGCUUGUAGGUGCUGACAUUAGAAUCUGAGCUGCUUGUUCACUGCUUCUGGAGUCCGCGCUGCCUCAGAAGAGGACUGAGCUGCUGCCUUCAUAGCUGCCUUGGACGUGUACAGGGGGCUGGUGAGAGAGCUCCCUUCCUCUCAUCUCCUUGUUUUUUCUAGGAAGCCUUAUUCUUUUCAGAUCUGCUCUCUGGCUGACUGUUCUGACUUCAGAUACCUCAAUUUGCUCACUGAAUGGCCUUGUUUUAAGGUUAUGUCCUUGUGACAGCCUCUUAGGACUCCCUAUACAGCUUUUAUGCUUGCUCUGGGAAAUAAGCAUAUCUUAGCCGGCCCAGAAGUACUGCUUUUACCCCUCUUCUCCUUAUCCCUUGUUUUUCAGUCUAGUCUCACCCCAGAUUAACAGACUGGUAAAUGGUUUGUUU